rnacentral:lncRNA from 1 species
AUAUAUAUAUAUAUAUAUAUAUAUAUACAUAUGCACGUAUUUUUUCUUCUUUCUACAUUUAAAAUGGCAUAAAAUUAAAAAAAAAAAUAAUAAAAAAAAAAAAAAAAAAAAAAAAAAAAAAAAAAAAAAAAAAAAAAAAAAAAAAAAAAAAAAAAAAAAAAAAAAAAAAAAAAAAAAAAAAAAAAAAAGAUGGAACCAAAUAGAAGGGUGCUCCAAAGAAAAACCAAAAUUAAAUUGCUAUCCAAAUUUUGUU